rnacentral:lncRNA from 1 species
GCUUCAUUGCGGCGGCGCAACCCUUUCCGACGUCUCCGUAUCCGCAGACGACUGCGACCUUUCCGGCGAUCAUGACGUCAGUGGCUCUCAUCAAACCGUCGGGGAGAGAGUGACGGCAUCCGUACAAGUUGUCGAACUGCGAACAGGUUUCAAGUUAGCAUUGAAUUCGGAUCCAUAAAAGUGCUAAUGAUUCAUUCAUAAGUGAACAAUCGUUAUCAGAUCCGAAUCACAAUCACAGCAUUAUAACAGAUCUAAAAACCUAAAACCCUAUUAGUUUAGAUCUAAGGGAUGAUCCACAAGCAUUAGAACAAAUAAGACGAGAUCUAUAGAUGAAUUACGAUGAACAUACCUUGCUCUUGGUGACAGAGUCAUUGACAUUAAUGGCAGGGAAAAGCAGAGUACCAUUGGCUUGCAUCUGGUACAACCUCUUAACACCAGUGGUGGUUUCCUCAGACACACCAACCAACCUAUCCUUCAUUUUGUGGUACUUCUUGGGGUCGACUGCUAGACCUUCCUUAAUGAUCGACAACACGAUCUGGAACUCAGCGUUGUCGGUGGAAGUCGGAUCGGGCAAUUUGCCGGUCUUCUCAAACUCCUCCUCAGCCUUCACUCCCUCGUGAAUCAAUAGAGU